rnacentral:misc_RNA from 1 species
UGCAGGUGCUAGCCAGGAACAUGGGAG